rnacentral:lncRNA from 1 species
GCCGGCCUGGUGCUGCAGGCCGACCCGGCCCUCGGGAUGCACCAGGCCGGCAGCCCCAACUCUUUCCAGGCGACCUUGGUCCGGCUCCGGGUUCGAAUCCGCCUCCCCUACUUGCUGGCCCUGUGACCUUGGGCAGGUCCCCUAGCUCAAGUCCAGGUGACUCAAUGGAGACGAGAAUGACCUGCCUCGUGGGCUUGGGUGGGGUUCCGGAGGGCGCUUGGAAAGCGCUGGGCCCAGCCGAGCACGGAACAGCUCUGAGAGCCCCCGGCCGCCAGCGUGUCGGGAUCUGCCCUGCGCGGUGGAGCCGCCGGGAGCCAGGCCGGCACCGCAAACCCGUCCGUUAGCUUGGAACCCCUUGGCCUAGAGGCGUCCUUCCCGAGCUCAUCUCUUCCUGCAUCCCGGUUCGGCCGUCGUCCAGGGCUCCUCGUGUCUUGCGACCCUGCAAGGUCCUGGGACGGUCUAGCCAUUUCUCACGACCUGGCAUUCCCCCACCUCACAGGCCAUGAACCCGGUCAGACCCUCCCUGGCCUUCCAGCGCUCCCGGCCCCCCAGGGCCUCUGACGCCCAGGUCAGAAACAGCCUCUCCUCCUGGACCCUCCACCUUCCUGGGGCGUCUUGCCCAUCAUCAGCAAGCCCAAGGAAAAUGGUGAAGAAAAUUGAAAUCAGCCAGCACGCCAAGAAGACUUGCUCCUUCUGUGGCAAAACCAAGAUGAAGAGAUGAGCUGUGGGGAUCUGGCACUGUGGUUCCUCUGUAAAACUGGCAGCCGGUGGUGCCUGGACCGACACCAUCACUUCUGCUGUCACAGUAAAGUUGGCCAUCAAAAGACUGAAGGAAUUGAAAGAUCAGUAGAAGCUUCACCAUUUGGAUCAUUGCUAGCCUAUAAUAAGAUGAAAGAUUUAUAUGAUCUGAAGAGAAAUCAGAGUAUGCUAGCCUAUAAUAAAUGGGUUAAUUUAUGUAACAAGAUUUUUAAAAAUUGUGCUAAAAUAUAUAAUGGAAAAUUUACCAUUUUAAUUCCUUUCAAUUGUACAAUGCAGUGGCAAUUCACAAUGUUAUGCAAUCAUCAUCACUAUCCAUUUCCUGAACAUUUCAUCAUCUCAAACAGAAACACUGUGCUCAUUAAACAAUACCUCUCCUUUUCCCUCUAACUCCAGCCUCUGGUAUCCUCUAUUCUACUUUGUCUCUAUGAAUUUGUCUGUUCUAGGCACCUCAUAUAAGUGGAAUCAUAGAACAUCUGUACUUUUGUGUCUAGCUUAUUUAGCUUAGCAUAAUGUUAUUAAGGUUCAUCCAUGUUGUAAGUUAUGUAUCAGAAUUUCAUUCCUUUUUUUUUUUUAAUAUUUUAUUUUUUUCCUUUUUCUCCCCAAAGCCCCCCGGUACAUAGUUGUGUAUUGUUAGUUGUGGGUCCUUCCAGUUGUGGCAUGUGGGAC